GGCCUCUUGGUCUAGUGGUAUGAUUCCUGCUUUGGGCUUUAUAGUUGAAUGCAGGAGGCCUCGGGUUCGAAUCCCGAAGAGGCCC